CAAACGCACCCAUGCUGAAUAAAUUAUGAAAUAGCCAUGGCGUAUCAAGUGAGAAGAGGGUAUUAACAGCUGACAACAAGAUUCAUGGGGUAUUUUUGGGUUAGCAAGGUAACGCUUUGAAUUCACUAUAAAAUGAUUGUGGUAAAAAGAUUGCGGACAAAAUUGUUGGGGUCACAACGUUGCUUGUGGUAAUCUCGUGUACAUUAUCAUUGUGAGACAAAAACGUUGUGGGUAAUAUCAUCGUGAAGUAAUAUCAUUCUUAUAUUAUAUUCGGACGAUAAAACUAUUGAAUGAUGAAGAAAAAUUCUAGGAUAUAACCUUCUAAUAGACUAUAAUACAUUCAGACCACAGAUUCUAUUGGUGAGCGGCUAGGCCCCGAGGCAAGUUGAAUUUAUCCACCGCCGCUUCCCUGAACGUCAAGGAACCCUUCUAAUAUCUCAAAAUACACGCCGCCCCACCGGUUGUAUAGGUGAAGUGCUGGGCCCAAAGGCAGUUUAAACUCUACCACCGCUGUGUUUCUAAGCACCAAGGAACCCAUCUAACAUGCAAUAAUACACCCUGGCCCACAGGUUGUGUAGAUGAACUGCUGGGAUCCGAAGCAUGUUGAAUUUAUCCGCCGCCACUUCCCUGAGCAUCAAGGAACCCUUCCAAUAUGUUAAAAUACACCUCGGCCCAAGCGUUGUCAAUGCCAUAUCCGUGAACAAUAAAAACUAUAAAUUAUUCUGGGUUUCCUGUUCCAAAUCAUUCAAAAGAAAACAUGAAAAAUUAUUUCGAAUUUAUACCCAAGAGCCAAA
rnacentral:lncRNA from 1 species